UCCGCUCCACACGAUAGAAAUAUUGAGCAUGUGGCCAUCCAAAGGAGGAUGUAACGCCAGUAGUUGAGUUUGGUUGGGAUAUACCAAAUGUUGACUACAUCAAUGGUGU
rnacentral:sRNA from 12 species